AGCCGACGAUGCGUAGGGGUUCUGAGAGGAAGGCCCCCCACAUUGGAACUGAGACACGGCCAAACUCCUACGGAAGGCAGCAG
rnacentral:rRNA from 1 species